rnacentral:rRNA from 1 species
CCUACGGGGGGCUGCAGUAAGGAAUAUUGGACAAUGGCCGCAAGGCUGAUCCAGCCAUGCCGCGUGCAGGAAGACGGCCCUAUGGGUUGUAAACUGCUUUUACACCGGAGAAAACCCCCUUUCGUGAAAGGGGCUGAUAGUAUGGUGAGAAUAAGCAUCGGCUAACUUCGUGCCAGCAGCCGCGGUAAGACGAAGGAUGCAAGCGUUAUCCGGAUUCAUUGGGUUUAAAGGGAGCGUAGGUGGUCUUAUAAGUCAGUGGUGAAAUCUCGCAGCUU